rnacentral:rRNA from 1 species
AUACAGAGGGUGCAAGCGUUAUUCGGAAUCACUGGGCGUAAAGGGUGCGUAGGCGGUUUGAUAAGUCUGAUGUGAAAUCCUAUGGCUCAACCAUAGAACUGCAUUGGAAACUGUCAGACUAGAAUACUGAAGGGGCAGAUGGAAUUAGUGGUGUAGGGGUAAAAUCCGUAGAUAUCACUAGGAAUACCGAAAGCGAAAGCGAUCUGCUGGGAAGUUAUUGACGCUGAGGCACGAAAGCGUGGGGAGCAAACGGAAUUAGAAACCCUAGUAGUCC